AUACAAAUCACCCAUAUUUCUUAUUAAAAUGCAGAUUCUGAGUCAGUAGAUCCAAAUUCUGUAUUUCUAAUAAGCUGUGAGGUGAUGCUGAU
rnacentral:pre_miRNA from 1 species